rnacentral:rRNA from 1 species
CCCGGUCCCAUCCCGAACCCGGAAGUUAAGCCCUUCAGCGCCGAUGGUACUGCAACCGAGAGGCUGUGGGAGAGUAGGACGCCGCCGGAC